CGUGGAGAAAAGAUUCCUUGGUCCCUGCCUGUGUAUUGUGUGAGGGUGAUCUACACAGAAUUGAUGUUCCGCUGUGGACGGAGAGAAGUGGAGGGAUGAAUUGCAGUGAAGCAAUAUUUUUGUGGAUGAUGCAUGUGACCAUUGGCAAGGCCAGUAUUUAUUGUGCAACCCUAGAGUUGGUCCUUCUUCUUGAACCACUAUUCGUCAUACUGUAGCAGCUUUUUUCAAACAAUAUACUUCAGCGUCACAUGAGGAGCUGGCUCAUAACAGCAGGGAAAGGUCUCAGACCGGGGAUGGAGUGGCCCACAUUAGGCCCCUCACUCACUUUGAGGAGUGUACCAUCGCACUUACUGGUGAGGAUGUGGACCCUGCCUGCAGUGACGGUGAGGUCGGCGGCGCAAACCAACGCGAGGAUCUUGCACCACAUCAUCCUUCUCACAAUGCAACUGGUGUUCCAUUGGCCAUUCUCCAAUCCUCUGGGACUUUUCCCUCAAGGCCUCGGCUCUCCAGAGGACGCACACGGACGUCAUCAGAGGAAACAGGACCAACCAAUGCACAGGUUGUCUCCACCCUUGCUGCAGAUGUCAGGGGCAGGACCUAGAAGAAGUGUUAGGCCUCGAAAAGUUAAGAGAUUCUGAUCAAAAGCGGUUGCAUGGGUGAACAAAUUUUGUUACUUAAUAAUCUGAAAACAUUUUAACUUUCACUGAAUAGUGUGUGAU